rnacentral:rRNA from 1 species
AGUGAACGCUGGCGGUAGGCCUAACACAUGCAAGUCGAACGGCAGCACAGUAAGAGCUUGCUCUUACGGGUGGCGAGUGGCGGACGGGUGAGGAAUACAUCGGAAUCUACUUUUUCGUGGGGGAUAACGUAGGGAAACUUACGCUAAUACCGCAUACGACCUACGGGUGAAAGCAGGGGAUCUUCGGACCUUGCGCGAUUGAAUGAGACGAUGUCGGAUUAGCUAGUUGGCGGGGUAAAGGCCCACCAAGGCGACGAUCCGUAGCUGGUCUGAGAGGAUGAUCAGCCACACUGGAACUGAGACACGGCCCAGACUCCUACGGGAGGCAGCAGUGGGGAAUAUUGGACAAUGGGCGCAAGCCUGAUCCAGCCAUACCGCGUGGGUGAAGAAGGCCUUCGGGUUGUAAAGCCCUUUUGUUGGGAAAGAAAAGCAGCAGGUUAAUACCCCGCUGUUCUGACGGUACCCAAAGAAUAAGCACCGGCUAACUUCGUG